AUCAUCCAAGGCUCCAUCAAAAGAAGAAGAAAGCAAGCACUUUCUCCUUUCAGACAAGAGGUUUUGAGGAGAGGCUAUGUACUUCACCAGUCAACGCGGGAACGGGUGGAAUUCAAAGGCAUUUGUAAAAAAGAAACCAGUGCUCAUGUUAGCUUAUUGGAAUAAAUAUCUUCAGAACCGUGAAGUUCAAUGGAGGAUCCAGAAUUACCACCUCAGAUAGCAGAGAUAGAUGGAACUGCAGAACCUAAGGCUGAUGCUCUGAAUUACCUGUGGAAAUACCAGGAAAUACUUUCACCAGCUACUGUUUAAAGAAUGAAAUCAUGAGCACCCGGAAUGUAAAUUAAAUUUUUGUUUUUAAUGCCAGUUCACCAACUUACAUUCAGCAAUACUCAUUUCUGAAUAAAGUUCUUUCCGCUUUGAAAAGCUGUCCCUUUACCAGUGACUCCAUUCCUUUCUCUCAUGAUGC